rnacentral:rRNA from 1 species
GACAGGGGGGGCGAGCGUUAUUCGUCAUGUACUGGGCGUAAAGGAUGAGUAGGUGGUUCAAUAAGUUGGUUAUGAAAGCUCCUGGCUAAACUGGGAGAGGUUGACCAAGACUGUUGGACUUGAGUGGAGAAGAGGUAAACGGAAUUCCGCGUGUAGUGGUGAAAUGCGUAGAGAUGCGGAAGAACACCAGUGGCGAAGGCGGUUUACUGGUCUCCAACUGACACUGAACCGCGAAAGCAUGGGUAGCGAACGGG